CAACCUCAACUCAUAUGGGACUACCCCCUGAAUUUAAGCAUAUUAAUUAGGGGAGGAAAAGAAACUAACAAGGAUUUUCUUAGUAGCGGCGAGCGAAAAGAAAACAGUUCAGCACUAAGUCACUUUGUCUAUAUGGCAAAUGUGAGAUGCAGUGUAUGGAGCGUCAAUAUUCUAGUAUGAGAAAUUAAUGAUUUAAGUCCUUCUUAAAUGAGGCCAUUUACCCAUAGAGGGUGCCAGACCCGUAUAACGUUAAUGAUUGCUAGAUGAUGUUUCCAAAGAGUCGUGUUGCUUGAUAGUGCAGCACUAAGUGGGUGGUAAACUCCAUCUAAAACUAAAUAUAACCAUGAGACCGAUAGUAAACAAGUACCGUGAGGGAAAGUUGAAAAGAACUCUGAAUAGAGAGUUAAACAGUACGUGAAACUGCUUAGAGGUUAAGCCCGAUGAACCUGAAUAUCCGUUAUGGAAAAUUCAUCAUUAAAAUUGUAAUAUUUAAAUAAUAUUAUUAAGAAUAAUGUGCAUUUUUUCCAUAUAAGGACAUUGUAAUCUAUUAGCAUAUCCCAAAUUUAUCAUAAAAUAUAACUUAUAGUUUAUUCCAAUUAAAUUGCUUGCAUUUUAACACAGAAUAAAUGUUAUUAAUUUGAUAAAGUGCUGAUAGAUUUAUAUUAUUACAGAGCGUUAAUUUUUCGGAAUUAUAUAAUGGCAUAAUUAUCAUUGAUUUUUGUGUUUAUUAUAUGCUCUUGUAUGAUUAACAAUGCGAAAGAUUCAGGAUACCUUCGGGACCCGUCUUGAAACACGGACCAAGGAGUCUAACAUAUGUGCAAGUUAUUGGGAUGUAAACCUAAUAGCGUAAUUAACUUGACUAAUAAUGGGAUUAGUUUUUAGCUAUUUAUAGCUAAUUAACACAAUCCCGGGGCGUUCUAUAUAGUUAUGUAUAAUGUAUAUUUAUAUUAUUUAUGCCUCUAACUGGAACGUACCUUGAGCAUAUAUGCUGUGACCCGAAAGAUGGUGAACUAUACUUGAUCAGGUUGAAGUCAGGGGAAACCCUGAUGGAAGACCGAAACAGUUCUGACGUGCAAAUCGAUUGUCAGAAUUGAGUAUAGGGGCGAAAGACCAAUCGAACCAUCUAGUAGCUGGUUCCUUCCGAAGUUUCCCUCAGGAUAGCUGGUGCAUUUUAAUAUUAUAUAAAAUAAUCUUAUCUGGUAAAGCGAAUGAUUAGAGGCCUUAGGGUCGAAACGAUCUUAACCUAUUCUCAAACUUUAAAUGGGUAAGAACCUUAACUUUCUUGAUAUGAAGUUCAAGGUUAUGAUAUAAUGUGCCCAGUGGGCCACUUUUGGUAAGCAGAACUGGCGCUGUGGGAUGAACCAAACGUAAUGUUACGGUGCCCAAAUUAACAACUCAUGCAGAUACCAUGAAAGGCGUUGGUUGCUUAAAACAGCAGGACGGUGAUCAUGGAAGUCGAAAUCCGCUAAGGAGUGUGUAACAACUCACCUGCCGAAGCAACUAGCCCUUAAAAUGGAUGGCGCUUAAGUUGUAUACCUAUACAUUACCGCUAAAGUAGAUGAUUUAUAUUACUUGUGAUAUAAAUUUUGAAACUUUAGUGAGUAGGAAGGUACAAUGGUAUGCGUAGAAGUGUUUGGCGUAAGCCUGCAUGGAGAA
rnacentral:ncRNA from 1 species